GCACUGGGAUAGCACAUGAAUUGGUAGAGCAUGAGACUCUUAAUCUAAGGGUCAUGGGUUUGAGUCCUACAUUGGGCA